UGCAAAACAAUCGAUGGGACUAUUUUUCGAUAUUUUUUUCGUUUCACUAUCGAUAGUUUAUUUUGAUCGAUGGUUUUUAUGCCUUAGUAUUCAUAAAAUUGCCAAAUUUUACUUAAUAUAGCUACAGGAGGAUAUAGUCUGAAAAUACCAUGAAAUUCAAUUUUGGAUACCAUGGCAGCCUUAAAAUCAUUAUUUUUUUCAUUCUUGGCUUGGUUGCGCGUAUUGAGGUAUUAGUUUUAACGCAAACGCUACUGUGCAAACUUCAUCUAGCAGCACUCUUACCCUUUCUUUUAUAAUUAAACAUAUUUUCGGUCUAUAUAUUGUAAAAGUUUGAAUGAUCUGAAAACCUAUGUGAAAACAUAUGAUGGGUUUGUAUUGUCUAAUUUGUUGAUAGAGCUAUUAAAGCUCUUUUUGGUUACGAAAACCGCACCAUCACAAAAAUGGCCACUAUUAUUUUGAACGCACGGCUCAAAAUAGAAGGUUUCGUUCCUCUACAAUAGCUGAUGUUGCAGCAAAAACGUUAGAAGAUGAAAUAGCUGGUAUGAAUAAAACCCAAUCAGUACCUCAGUAUAUAGAACAGACUUCAACGUCCAACACGAAAUCGUAACCACUUAUUCAACCUAUUUUGAGUUUCCUCAAUAAAAAAUUUAGGAGAAGAUUAAAUCAAACAGAAUGGAUGCAACCAUAAAAUACUCUAUGGAACUGUUUUUUAACUCUCAGAGAAAUAUAUAUAAUAACAUGAAUACGUCUUUGAUGCAGCUUUAUUAAGUUUAAUUUGUUUUAUAAAUAAUUCUAAUGACUUUUUCAUAAAAAUGAAGUGUACAAAGUCAUAGUCUCUCAAUUUCAUCCCUAUUCACAUCCCCUCACAAUAGUCACCACCCUAAUCAUUGUGAGGUCUUUGAAUGUUGUGAGGUUUACCUUAUGCUGGCGUUAAUUCAAAAGCUCAAAUGCUCACAAUUUCCCCACAAAUUUGUGACGUCUGAAAGCAACCCUCACAAUGAAAAAACAGCACUAUGAAGAUAUACCAUUCAUUGAUAUUUUUAUAUAUCACUACUAUCACACCGAACAUAAUAGACUAUACAAGGAAAAUUAUAUACUUAUUGAAGAAAAAUAUGCAUUAAUUUUUGAAGAAUAUCGUUCAAUAUAUCAUUUGACGAAUUUAUCAUUAUUUGAAAAUGAUAUACAAAAAUACAAAACUGAUACCGAAAUAGUACUAAUUGAUGACUCAAGUAUGGAUUCAGAAAUAUGCAUAACAGAAACAGUGUUAAAACUAUUAAUGAAUGUUAAUAAAAUAAUAGAAAGAGGAGUAACCGAAAUAGGAACAGUUUGGAAAUGGAUUUCAGGCACAUCUGACCUUGACGAUUUUAUAAAAAUAGCAAACAAAUAAAUUACUUAACAGAAAACAAUAAAAAACUCACUAAUAUUUAAUUUAAUUACGGUAUUAACACAAAUAAUAAAUCAACUACAAGGCAUCUCUAAUAAAAUGACUACUUUAAUACAAGUAUAUAGGAACAAUCUAAUAAUCACUGAACUUGAAAAUGCAAUACAAACUAUUACACUAAUUAAACUUGGAAUUUUAAAUCCACUUAUUUCACAUAAGUAUAUAAUGAAGAAAUAAAACAAAUAAUAAGCGAGUAAAGAAUUAAUGUAACAAUAACAGAUCUUAUUUAUAAUUGCACAAAAAAUUAUAGGUAAUUGUACAAAAAUAAAAAAGCCAAUAAGUCAAUAAAUAUUGUAAAAGACGGUGCUAUAAUAGUAUCCGGAAAAAACAAUAGAUGGGGUAUACUUGAUAAAUUUUUUUGAUAAUGUAACUAUAGACAGAAAAAAAUAUGAAAACUCCACUGGAAAAAUUUUAAAUUAUUUUAGAGAAGAAAAGUUAAAGCCACUUUUUGCAAGAGAAUAUUAAAGAAUAUUAAAACAAAAAUUGUUUGAAAUCUAAACAUUUUGAAACAGGAAAUAAAAAGAAAUCCUGCUUGGUGGUUACUUACUUUACUAUUGUUAAUAAGCAUUAUUGGGGAUUUUAUUAACAAAUUAAUUAAUCAUAUUUUAAUUAAAAUAAAAAAGAAAGAGAAGAAAUGUUAAAAAAUUGUCAAUUAAAAUUAAUCAUCUUGAAAAUAUAUAUUCGAAGACGGAACGCUUCGUUUUAGAGGUGGGAGAGUUAACGCCACCAAUAGCCCGUAGCAAAUAACUAUUAUGUAAACAAUAAAUAUAUAAUUGCACCAUUAAGCGAAUGUGUGAAAUAUUAUAUGUUGACGCCACCAAUAGCCCAUAGUGCUUAAACAUUAUAUACAUAAACAAUAAAUACAUAAUUUUACCAUUAUGCGAAUGUGCCAACAAAUAUGUCAUUAACACAUUGGCAAUUGGGAAGCGGCCAUCAGUUAACAUCUAUGUAUGUAUGGUCCGCCUUACUUCCUAGAAUUUAAGCUGAGAUAUUGUAUCUAAACUUAAGUAACGCAUUGUAUAAAAGGAGAAGAAAUAAAGAAGAAAACCUUGUUUACGUGCUCCAACGAAAAGUUAAUUUGCACAUAUGAAUGUACAGUAUAUCACAAAAAUAAGUAUGCAGCGUGUUUAUCUGUUUUGUCAUGCGAAAAAAAGCCUUAAAACUAAUAUU